CCUCGGGAGGCAGCAGUGAGGAAUAUUGGUCAAUGGCCGAGAGGCUGAACCAGCCAAGUCGCGUGAGGGAUGACGGCCCUACGGGUUGUAAACCUCUUUUGUCGGGGAGCAAAGAGAGUCACGUGUGGCUCAUUGAGAGUACCCGAAGAAAAAGCAUCGGCUAACUCCGUGCCAGCAGCCGCGGUAAUACGUAGGUGGCAAGCGUUGUCCGGAAUUACUGGGUGUAAAGGGAGCGCAGGCGGGAAGCCAAGUCAGCUGUGAAAACUACAGGCUUAACUUGUAGACCGCACUUAAAAC
rnacentral:rRNA from 1 species